rnacentral:tRNA from 1 species
AUUUAAAUAGCUUAUAUAACAGAGUAUAAUAUUGAAGAUAUUAGGGAGAUUAAUUAAUCUUUAAAUA